rnacentral:lncRNA from 1 species
UAGGCAAAAAGUGCAAUGGAACAGGGCAGAAAAUAACACACUAACUUCAGGCAACUGUUGCUUUUUCAUGGUCUUUAGGGAUUUUACACUGCGUAUCUGGAAAAACAAGUCACCGUUUAAACACUAAGUCUACAGCUUGAAAGGCCUGGAAAGUAAGAUUUUCUGUAGACGUCAACUUCUCUCUGGUUUGAUGCCCCAUUCUUCUGCUGAUGCCACAUGCACCACUGAUUAGUACGGGGAAAUGGAAGAGGUCUCUUGAAAUAAGGUAGGUCUCUUUAUUUUCUAUAAGGGCAUGGGUUGAUUAUCAUGUUCAUAAUUACUUUUCUAUUUAAAAUAAAUGAAGUCAAACAGGUAUUUUA